UGGAGACGUAGGCGGGGACCGGUACGCGGAGGGCGCAGCCAGCCUGUCCGCUCCCCCUUCUACGUGUCCACUCCUGCCGGCGCCCCAACCCACCCGCAAAGGCUCCAGGUCCAGGCCCCCCACCCCCACAACCAGCCGUGGGACCCUAUCCAGACCAUGGGAACAACAGUAUCCACGUAAGAGCGCGUCGAGGAUUAAAGGAGCUGCACUUGGCCCUCUGAAGAGCAGGCAGGAAUUGUAA
rnacentral:lncRNA from 1 species